rnacentral:tRNA from 1 species
GGCCUUGUAACUCAGUUGGCUAGAGCAUUAGCUGUACUAAAACCUUCGCCCUGCUGGCAUGGGUUCGAAUUCCAUCAAGGCUG